GAUGAACGCUAGCGGGAGGCCUAACACAUGCAAGCCGAGCGGUAUUGUUUCUUCGGAACUGAGAGAGCGGCGUACGGGUGCGUAACACGUGUGCAACCUGCCUUUAUCUGGGGGAUAGCCUUUCGAAAGGAAGAUUAAUACUCCAUAAUAUAUUGAACGGCAUCGUUUAAUAUUGAAAGCUCCGGCGGAUAGAGAUGGGCACGCGCAAGAUUAGCUAGUUGGUGAGGUAACGGCUCACCAAGGCGAUGAUCUUUAGGGGGCCUGAGAGGGUGAUCCCCCACACUGGUACUGAGACACGGACCAGACUCCUACGGGAGGCAGCAGUGAGGAAUAGUGGUCAAUGGGUGCAAGCCUGAACCAGCCAUCCCGCGUGAAGGACGACUGCCCUAUGGGUUGUAAACUUCUUUUGUAUAGGGAUAAACCUACCCUCGAGAGGGUAGCUGAAGGGACUAUACGAAUAAGCACCGGCUAACUCCGU
rnacentral:rRNA from 1 species